rnacentral:rRNA from 1 species
AGUGAACGCUGGCGGUAGGCCUAACACAUGCAAGUCGAACGGAGGGGCGGACGGGUGAGUAAUACCUAGGAAUCUGCCUGGGCGUGGGGGAUAAGGUCCGGAAACGGGAGCUAAUACCGCAUACUAUCAGCAUAGCAUAGGUCGGAUUAGGUAGUUGGUGGGGUAAAGGCCUACCAAGGCGACGAUCCGUAACUGGUCUGAGAGGAUGAUCAGUCACACUGGAACUGAGACACGGUCCAGACUCCUACGGGAGGCAGCAGUGGGGAAUAUUGGACAAUGGGCGAAAGCCUGAUCCAGCCAUGCCGCGUGUGUGAAGAAGGUCUUCGGAUUGUAAAGCACUUUAAGUUGGGAGGCGUUACCAACAGAAUAAGCACCGGCUAACUUCGUGCCAGCAGCCGCGGUAAUAC